UACGUAGGGUGCGAGCGUUAAUCGGAAUUACUGGGCGUAAAGCGUGCGCAGGCGGUUCGUCAAGUCUGAUGUGAAAGCCCCGGGCUCAACCUGGGAAUGGCAUUGGAAACUAGCGGGCUUGAGUGUGGCAGAGGGGGAUGGAAUUCCGGCGUGUAGCAGUGAAAUGCGUAGAUAUGCGGAGGAACACCGAUGGCGAAGGCAAUCCCCUGGGCCUGCACUGACGCUCAUGCACGAAAGCGUGGGGAGCAAACAGG
rnacentral:rRNA from 1 species